rnacentral:rRNA from 1 species
GUCCCUAGUUCGGAUUGUAGGCUGAAACUCGCCUACAUGAAGCUGGAAUUGCUAGUAAUCACAGGUCAGCAUACUGUGGUGAAUACGUUCCCGGGCCUUGUACACACCGCCCGUCACACCAUGAGAGUUGAGAAUACCCGAAGCCCAUGUCAAAGUGGUCGAAGGUAGGCUUGAUGAUUGGGGUGAAGUCGUAACAAGGUAAC